UACGAAGGGGGCUAGCGUUGUUCGGAAUUACUAGGCGUAAAGCGCGCGUAGGCGGUGAUCUUUGUCAGAGGUGAAAGCCUGGGGCUCAACUCCAGAAUUGCCUUUGAAACGGGAUCGCUUGAGUCCGAGAGAGGAUGGCGGAAUUCCUAGUGUAGAGGUGAAAUUCGUAGAUAUUAGGAAGAACACCGGUGGCGAAGGCGGCCAUCUGGCUCGGUACUGACGCUCAGGCGCGAAAGCGUGGGGAGCAAACAGG
rnacentral:rRNA from 1 species